GACGAACGCUGGCGGCGUGCUUAACACAUGCAAGUCGAACGGAAAGGCCUGCUUUCCCUUGUGGAUUGCGGGUACUCGAGUGGCGAACGGGUGAGUAACACGUGAGUGAUCUGCCCCCAACUUGGGUAUAAGCCUGGGAAACUGGGUCUAAUUCCCGAUAGGACUGCAGGGUGGUGCCUGUGGUGGAAAACGAUUUUCUAGUGGUUGGGGAUGAGCUCGCGGCCUAUCAGCUUGUUGGUGGGGUAAUGGCCUACCAAGGCGGCGACGGGUAGCCGGCCUGAGGGGGUGGACGGCCACAUUGGGACUGAGAUACGGCCCAGACUCCUACGGGAGGCAGCAGUGGGGAAUAUUGCACAAUGGGCGGAAGCCUGAUGCAGCGACGCCGCGUGGGGGAUGACGGCCUUCGGGUUGUAAGCUCCUUUCGACCGCGAGGAAGCCACCUGGUUGGAAGGGUGGUGACGGUAGUGGUAGAAGAAGCACCGGCUAACUACGU
rnacentral:rRNA from 1 species